UCUUCUCUUAACCUAAGUCUUUUCCUCUUCCUCUCUUCGUCUCCUUCCUCCACUUUCUUCUCCUCAUUUCUUCGUCUUCUUCUCCUCUUUUUGGUCAAAUAAAUCUAACGUAAAUUUAGCACAAUAAUUUUCAAAGAGGAAUAAAAGAGGUUCCUUUGAGUGUUUGAUUUUAGCAAGUUUGAUAAAUCGAAGACUGUGUUGAAGAGAUUCCGUCAUAUUAAUGUUUGCUUUUGAGAUGGAGAAGGAUAGGAUUUCACGGAUUCUCCAAUUUUAUCUCGUUGGCCACGGAAACAUAUCGUCGGAGAGAAGAAGAUUUGUUCAGAUUUGAUAAAACAAUUGAAGGUUACAGUGUCUUCACCAGUCCUGUAAUUGGUGAUGACUAUAUCCAUCUUGGUAGGUCUAUUGUUGACUCACGAAAUAACACAAUCCUUCCCAGUACGAGAAUGCAAGAAACUUGCUGUUGGACGUGGUAGUGGUCGUGGCAAGAAGAAAUGAUUAUGUGGCGUUGUCUUUUGUAUUUUUAGACUUGAUUAGUUUAUCAGAUGUGUUUGGAAGGUUUGGAAUGAUGUUUGGUUUGCUUUGUCUCAAACUUGGUUGUUUAGUUUACUUUAUUUGGUUGUUUUUGUGUCUCAAACUUGAUGUUUGGUUGGUUUUGUCUCAGAAUUGAGAAUUUUAAUCGGA